rnacentral:rRNA from 1 species
UGGGGAAUUUUGGACAAUGGGGGAAACCCUGAUCCAGCCAUCCCGCGUGUGCGAUGAAGGCCUUCGGGUUGUAAAGCACUUUUGGCAGGAAAGAAACGUCGUGGGUUAAUACCCCGCGAAACUGACGGUACCUGCAGAAUAAGCACCGGCUAACUACGUGCCAGCAGCCGCGGUAAUACGUAGGGUGCAAGCGUUAAUCGGAAUUACUGGGCGUAAAGCGUGCGCAGGCGGUUCGGAAAGAAAGAUGUGAAAUCCCAGAGCUUAACUUUGGAACUGCAUUUUUAACUACCGGGCUAGAGUGUGUCAGAGGGAGGUGGAAUUCCGCGUGUAGCAGUGAAAUGCGUAGAUAUGCGGAGGAACACCGAUGGCGAAGGCAGCCUCCUGGGAUAACACUGACGCUCAUGCACGAAAGCGCGGGGAGCAAACAGGAUUAGAUACCCUGGUAGUCCACGCCCUAAACGAUGUCAACUAGCUGUUGGGGUCUUCGGACCUUGGUAGCGCAGCUAACGCGUGAAGUUGACCGCCUGGGGAGUACGGUCGCAAGAUUAAAACUCAAAUGAAUUGACGGGGUCGAUAC